rnacentral:rRNA from 1 species
AUUGAACGCUGGCGGCAGGCCUAACACAUGCAAGUCGAACGGUAACAGAAAGCAGCUUGCUGCUUUGCUGACGAGUGGCGGACGGGUGAGUAAUGUCUGGGAAACUGCCUGAUGGAGGGGGAUAACUACUGGAAACGGUAGCUAAUACCGCAUAACGUCGCAAGACCAAAGAGGGGGACCUUCGGGCCUCUUGCCAUCGGAUGUGCCCAGAUGGGAUUAGCUUGUUGGUGGGGUAACGGCUCACCAAGGCGACGAUCCCUAGCUGGUCUGAGAGGAUGACCAGCCACACUGGAACUGAGGCACGGUCCAGACUCCUACGGGAGGCAGCAGUGGGGAAUAUUGCACAAUGGGCGCAAGCCUGAUGCAGCCAUGCCGCGUGUAUGAAGAAGGCCUUCGGGUUGUAAAGUACUUUCAGCGGGGAGGAAGGGAGUAAAGUUAAUACCUUGGCUCAUUGACGUUACCCACAGAAGAAGCACCGGCUAACUCCGUG